UACGGAGGAUGCGAGCGUUGUCCGGAUUUAUUGGGUUUAAAGGGAGCGUAGACGGGUUUUUAAGUCAGCUGUGAAAGUUUGGGGCUCAACCUUAAAAUUGCAGUUGAAACUGGAGACCUCGAGUACGGUUGAGGCAGGCGGAAUUCGUGGUGUAGCGGUGAAAUGCUUAGAUAUCACGAAGAACCCCGAUUGCGAAGGCAGCCUGCUAAGCCGCCACUGACGUUGAGGCUCGAAAGUGCGGGUAUCAAACAGG
rnacentral:rRNA from 1 species